UACGUAGGGUGCAAGCGUUAAUCGGAAUUACUGGGCGUAAAGCGUGCGCAGGCGGUUCGUUAAGACAGAUGUGAAAUCCCAGGGCUUAACCUUGGAACUGCAUUUGUGACUGCAUAGCUAGAGUACGGUAGAGGGGGAUGGAAUUCCGCGUGUAGCAGUGAAAUGCGUAGAUAUGCGGAGGAACACCGAUGGCGAAGGCAAUCCCCUGGACCUGUACUGACGCUCAUGCACGAAAGCGUGGGGAGCAAACAGG
rnacentral:rRNA from 1 species